AUUGAACGCUGGCGGCAGGCCUAACACAUGCAAGUCGAACGAGUGGCGGACGGGUGAGUAAUGUCUGGGAAACUGCCUGAUGGAGGGGGAUAACUACUGGAAACGGUAGCUAAUAACGCAUACCAUCAGAUGUGCCCAGAUGGGAUUUGCUUGUUGGUGGGGGAACGGCUCACCAAGGCGACGAUCCCUAGCUGGUCUGAGAGGAUGACCAGCCACACUGUAACUUAGACACGGGCCAGACUCCUACGGGAGGCAGCAGUGGGGAAUAUUGCACAAUGGGCGCAAGCCUGAUGCAGCCAUGCCGCUUGUAUGAAGAAGGCCUUCGGGUUGUAAAGCACUUUCAGCUGGGAGGCGUUACCCGCAGAAGAAGCACCGGCUAACUCCGUGCCAGCAGCCGCGGUAAUUC
rnacentral:rRNA from 1 species